rnacentral:rRNA from 1 species
GAGCGGUAUUGUUUCUUCGGAAACGAGAGAGCGGCGCACGGGUGCGGAACACGUGUGCAACCUGCCUUUAUCUGGGGGAUAGCCUUUCGAAAGGAAGAUUAAUACCCCAUAAUAUUUUGAAUGGCAUCAUUUAAAAUUGAAAACUCCGGUGGAUAGAGAUGGGCACGCGCAAGAUUAGAUAGUUGGUAGGGUAACGGCCUACCAAGUCAGUGAUCUUUAGGGGGGCUGAGAGGGUGAUCCCCCACACUGGUACUGAGACACGGACCAGACUCCUACGGGAGGCAGCAGUGAGGAAUAUUGGACAAUGGGUGAGAGCCUGAUCCAGCCAUCCCGCGUGAAGGACGACGGCCCUAUGGGUUGUAAACUUCUUUUGUACAGGGAUAAACCUUUCCACGUGUGGAAAGCUGAAGGUACUGUACGAAUAAGCACCGGCUAACUCCGUG